rnacentral:misc_RNA from 1 species
UCCGUAAAGGUGGAUGAGUGGUGUUUGGUUUGUUACGUGUGGUUGGCUGCGGCGUUUGCAACAACUUCCAUGCUUUCAGACCUCUUCAGUUGUGCGGCAAGGCUUGUAUCGCCUUGAGCGUACUGUGGGUUUUCUGUGUUGGCUACCUAAUCAACGGUAUCGGUUGGAUUGAUCAAAGUUUGAUUUCGUCUUCCGUCGCAUUCGCGGCGUGAGGUGAACCUCGAUGCGGUCUCUUUGAUCCACCUCGUUUGAGCACUUGCUUCGACGUUGUGGCACAUUGAGCAUUGCUUGGUCUCUUGUAUACGGAACAUAUAGUGGGCAUGGAUCUAACGAUCCUCGUUUGCCCUCAUAUUAGCGUAACGCUUCUCUAACACGACUUGCGCCAUGUUUUAGCUCGUACGGACGUGGCGCUGUGUCGAARAGGAAUGCUACCUGGUUGAUCCUGCCAGUAGUCAUAUGCUUGUCUCAAAGAUUAAGCCAUGCAUGUGUAAGUA